UGCAGUCGAGCGGUAAGGCCCUUCGGGGUACACGAGCGGCGAACGGGUGAGUAACACGUGGGUGAUCUGCCUCGUACUCUGGGAUAAGCCUGGGAAACUGGGUCUAAUACCGGAUAUGACCACAUGUCGCAUGGUGUGUGGUGGAAAGAUUUAUCGGUGCGAGAUGGGCCCGCGGCCUAUCAGCUUGUUGGUGGGGUAACGGCCUACCAAGGCGACGACGGGUAGCCGACCUGAGAGGGUGAUCGGCCACACUGGGACUGAGACACGGCCCAGACUCCUACGGGAGGCAGCAGUGGGGAAUAUUGCACAAUGGGCGGAAGCCUGAUGCAGCGACGCCGCGUGCGGGAUGACGGCCUUCGGGUUGUAAACCGCUUUCGACUCCGACGAAGCGCAAGUGACGGUAGGAGUAGAAGAAGCACCGGCCAACUACGUGCCAGCAGCCGCGGUAAUACGUAGGGUGCGAGCGUUGUCCGGAAUUACUGGGCGUAAAGAGCUUGUAGGCGGUCUGUCGCGUCUUCUGUGAAAAUUCACAGCUCAACUGUGAACCUGCAGGGGAUACGGGCAGACUAGAGUACUUCAGGGGAGACUGGAAUUCCUGGUGUAGCGGUGAAAUGCGCAGAUAUCANGAGGAACACCGGUGGCGAAGGCGGGUCUCUGGGAAGUAACUGACGCUGAGAAGCGAAAGCGUGGGUAGCGAACAGGAUUAGAUACCCUGGUAGUCCACGCNGUAAACGGUGNUACUAGGUGUGGGUUUCC
rnacentral:rRNA from 1 species